UUAAAUUACUUAAGCUAUAUCCCAAGUAGCAUGGGGCACGUGAAAUCCCGUGUGAAUCAGCGAGGACCACCUCGUAAGGCUAAAUAUUACUGAAUGACCGAUAGUGAAAUAGUACCGUGAGGGAAAGGUGAAAAGAACCCCGGGAGGGGAGUGAAAUAGAACAUGAACCCGUAAGCUUACAAGCAGAGGAAGGUCGACUAAUCGUCUAACCUCGUGCAUGUUGAAGAAUGAGCCGGCGACUUAUAGGUAGUGGCAGGUUAAGGUAAAGAAUACCGAAGCCAAAGUGAAAGCGAGCUUAAAUAGAGCGUUAGUCACUAUUUAUAGACCCGAACCCGGAUGAUCUAGCCAUGGCCAGGGUGAAGCUUAGGUAACACUAAGUGGAGGUCCGAACCGACUGAUGUUGAAAAAUCAGCGGAUGAGUUGUGGCUAGGGGUGAAAUGCCAAUCGAAUCCGGAGCUAGCUGGUUCUCCCCGAAAUGUGUUGAGGCGCAGCGGUUGAUGCUUAAUCUUGGGGGUAAAGCACUGUUUCGGUGCGGGCUGCGAGAGCGGUACCAAAUCGAGGCAAACUCUGAAUACCAAGUGUGUAGUCAACCAGUGAGACAGUGGGGGAUAAGCUUCAUUGUCAAGAGGGAAACAGCCCAGACCACCAGCUAAGGCCCCUAAAUAAUUGCUAAGUGGCAAAGGAGGUGGGAAUGCAUAGACAACCAGGAGGUUUGCUUAGAAGCAGCAACCCUUUAAAGAGUGCGUAAUAGCUCACUGGUCAAGUGAUCCUGCGCCGAAAAUGAACGGGACUAAGUGAUUUGCCGAAGCUGUGGGAUGUUUAUACAUCGGUAGGGGAGCGUUCUGUAUUAGUUUGAAGCAUUAGCGAAAGCGGAUGUGGACAAAACAGAAGUGAGAAUGUCGGCUUAAGUAGCGAAAACAUUGGUGAGAAUCCAAUGCCCCGAAAACCUAAGGAUUCCUCCGGAAGGUUCGUCCGCGGAGGGUGAGUCAGGACCUAAGGCGAGGCUGAAAAGCGUAGUCGAUGGACAACAGGUUAAUAUUCCUGUACCAUUUAUUAUUGAUAUCGAGGGACGGAGAAGGCUAAGCUAGCCGGAUGUUGGUUACCGGUUUAAGUAUUAAAGGUGUAGAUGAAUAGUGAAAAUAUUCUGAGCUAAGAUACAAAUACAAAGUGCCAAGGCACUAAAGUAGCUGAUGUCAUACUUCCUAGAAAAGCUCGACAUAUUUUAAAUAGUAAAUGCCUGUACCCUAAACCGACACAGGUAGGUAAGUAGAGUAUACUAAGGGGCGCGAGAUAACUCUCUCUAAGGAACUCGGCAAAAUAGCCCCGUAACUUCGGGAGAAGGGGUACCCUUCAAAAGGGUUGCAAUAACCAGGCCCAAGCGACUGUUUAUCAAAAACACAGGUCUCCGCUAAGUCGUAAGACAAUGUAUGGGGGCUGACGCCUGCCCAGUGCCGGAAGGUUAAAGAAGCUGGUUAGCUUUAAAGCAAAGCUGGCAACUGAAGCCCCGGUGAACGGCGGCCGUAACUAUAACGGUCCUAAGGUAGCGAAAUUCCUUGUCGGGUAAGUUCCGACCCGCACGAAAGGCGUAACGAUUUGGGCACUGUCUCGGAGAGAGACUCGGCGAAAUAGACUUGUCUGUGAAGAUGCGGACUACCUGCACCUGGACAGAAAGACCCUAUGAAGCUUUACUGUAGCUUGGAAUUGGGUUUGGGCUUUUCUUGCGCAGGAUAGGUGGGAGGCUAAGAAAAUAAUCUUGCGGGGUUAUUCGAGCCAAUGGUGAGAUACCACUCUGGAAAAGCUAGAAUUCUAACCUUGAAAGCCGUUAUCCGGCCAAGGAACAGUUCCAGGUAGGCAGUUUGACUGGGGCGGUCGCCUCCUAAAAAGUAACGGAGGCGCGCAAAGGUUCUCUCAGGCUGGUCGGAAAUCAGUCGUAGAGUGUAAAGGCAUAAGAGAGCUUGACUGU
rnacentral:rRNA from 1 species